rnacentral:sRNA from 2 species
GCUUGCAUAUUCCAUUCAUCCCCCUGGUUCUUUGCAGGGGACUGCUCUUGUCGGCAAUCGUUUCCCGGGCUCUCGAAUUUACCUGCAUUUGGCACGGCCAGGGAUAGAAUAAGAAAAUGGGAACUCUACUGCACAUAUAUAUAUACGUAGAGCAUCUUGUUUGCUCGUUGCUUUUGCGGCAGGGAAAGGUGAGAUAGGCUUGAAAAACUGGCCCAAAAGCACCGUUGAAAAAUCGGACUAGAUAAACACUAGUACUAGUAACUACACCCCAGCCCGAUAUGGCUGCAGCAUGAUGUUGGAGAAGUUCGAUUCGACGCCGUUGGAAGUCAAUGACAGAAUGUUGUUGAGUGGCGUAAAGAUGAAUUGGCGAGGUAUUGUUGAAUAUGGAGUUUAAGAAGAGUUACCGGCAACAAGGGUGGAGUGGUUGUAUUCCCGUGUCCAAACGAAGGUGUUGUUGAAGGACGAGAUGAUGGCUUUGGAUCUUGUUGUGUUGGACACAAAAGGGGGAAGAGAUGGUGAGUAACUAUGUGACUUUUAUUUUUUAUUUUUAGCA